rnacentral:rRNA from 1 species
GACGACGCUGGCGGCGUGCCUAACACAUGCAAGUCGUGCGGUCUCGCCUUAAGCGAAAGGCCUUCGGGCUUUGAAGCAAAGGCGAGAUAGCGGCGGACGGGUGAGUAACGCGUGGCUUAUCUGUCCCAGGGAGGGGGAUAACGUCUGGAAACGGGCGCUAAUACCCCAUAUGCCGAAAGGUAAAAAGGAGAAAUCCGCCCUGGGGUGAGGCCGCGUCCUAUCAGCUCGUUGGUGAGGUAACGGCCCACCAAGGCUAUGACGGGUAGCCGGCCUGAGAGGGCGGCUGGCCACACUGGGAUUGAGAUACGGCCCAGACUCCUACGGGAGGCAGCAGUGGGGAAUAUUGGGCAAUGGGGGAAACCCUGACCCAGCGACGCCGCGUGGAGGAAGGAGCCCUUCGGGGUGUAAACUCCUGUUGUAAGGGAAGAAGACAGUGACGGUACCUUACGAGGAAGCCCCGGCAAACUACGUG